UACGUAGGUGGCAAGCGUUAUCCGGAUUUACUGGGUGUAAAGGGGGCGCAGACGGCGAUGCAAGCCAGGAGUGAAAGCCCGGGGCCCAACCCCGGGACUGCUCUUGGAACUGCGUGGCUGGAGUGCAGGAGGGGCAGGCGGAAUUCCUGGUGUAGCGGUGAAAUGCGUAGAUAUAUGGAAGAACACCAGUGGCGAAAGCGGCUCUCUGGUCUGUAACUGACGCUGAGGUUCGAAAGCGUGGGUAGCAAACAGG
rnacentral:rRNA from 1 species